AUGGGGCAGAGGCUCCUAUUACUGGUGACCACCUGUCUGUGGGCUCUUUCAUGCGCCGUGCCGCACCACGCUUCCUCGCGUGAUGGACUGCUUAGGAUCAACCUCAACAAGAAGAGCUUGACCCAUGAAUCUCUGGCCGCAGCAAAGGCCGCGAGGCAGCACGAUGCCCUCCGACUGAAGAGCGGCAAUUCAGACAGCGACAUCGUGCCUCUUGUCGACUACCUCAACACACAGUACUAUGGGGUCAUCGGCCUCGGCACGCCGCCGCAGAAUUUCACAGUGAUAUUUGACACCGGGAGCUCCAACCUCUGGGUUCCCUCGGCGAAAUGCUAUUUUUCGAUAGCAUGCUACCUCCAUCCCAAAUACAAGUCGAGCAAGUCAAGCACUUACAAAGCAGAUGGUGAGACUUGCAAAAUUACAUAUGGUUCUGGAGCAAUCUCUGGAUUUUUCAGCAAUGAUAAUGUGUUGGUUGGGGACCUUGUUGUGAAAAAUCAGAAAUUCAUCGAGACAACACGUGAAACAAGUGUUAGUUUUAUCGUCGGGAAGUUUGAUGGCAUCCUUGGCCUUGGCUACCCUGACAUCUCCGUUGGAAAAGCCCCUCCAGUAUGGCUGAGCAUGCAAGAGCAGAAGUUGCUCGCUGACGACGUAUUCUCAUUUUGGCUUAACCGGGAUUCUGAUGCACUUUCUGGCGGUGAGCUCGUCUUCGGUGGCAUGGACCCGGAUCACUAUAAGGGAAACCACACCUAUGUCCCUGUGAGCCGCAAAGGUUACUGGCAGUUUAACAUGGGUGAUCUCUUGAUUGAUGGCCACUCUACUGGCUUCUGUGCAAAAGGCUGUGCUGCUAUUGUGGACUCCGGGACUUCCCUGCUGGCUGGCCCAACAGCUAUAGUUGCGCAGGUGAACCAUGCAAUUGGAGCUGAGGGAAUUAUCAGCACCGAAUGUAAAGAGGUGGUGAGCCAGUACGGAGAGAUGAUCCUCGAAUUGUUAAUAGCACAGACACAGCCACAGAAAGUUUGCAGUCAGAUUGGUCUGUGUUUGUUUGAUGGUACUCACUCUGUCAGCAACGGGAUUGAAUCCGUUGUCGGUAAAGAAAAUGUUGGCUCGGAUGUUAUGUGCACAGCCUGUGAGAUGGCUGUUGUGUGGAUAGAGAACCAGCUCCGUGAAAACAAAACAAAGGAGCUGAUAUUGCAAUAUGCUAACCAGCUGUGUGAGCGUCUACCGAGCCCAAAUGGAGAGUCAACAGUCAGCUGCCAUGAGAUGUCAAAGAUGCCGAAUCUUGCUUUCACCAUCGCAAGCAAGACUUUCGUGCUAACACCAGAGCAGUACGUUGUGAAACUGGAGCAAUCAGGGCAAACCGUCUGCAUCAGUGGGUUCAUGGCAUUCGACAUACCGCCCCCACGUGGUCCUCUCUGGAUUCUUGGGGAUGUCUUCAUGGGCGCUUACCACACCGUGUUCGACUUCGGCAAGGACAGAAUCGGGUUUGCGGAAUCGGCUUGA
rnacentral:rRNA from 1 species